rnacentral:rRNA from 1 species
UACGAAGGGGGCUAGCGUUGCUCGGAAUUACUGGGCGUAAAGCGCGCGUAGGCGGAUCGUUAAGUCGGGGGUGAAAUCCUGGAGCUCAACUCCAGAACUGCCUUCGAUACUGGCGAUCUCGAGUUCGGGAGAGGUGAGUGGAACUGCGAGUGUAGAGGUGAAAUUCGUAGAUAUUCGCAAGAACACCAGUGGCGAAGGCGGCUCACUGGCCCGAUACUGACGCUGAGGUGCGAAAGCGUGGGGAGCAAACAGG